UGGAGCAUGUGGUUUAAUUCGAAGAUACACGAAGAACCUUACCUGGCCUUGACAUGGUAGGAACCCUUAAGAGAUUAGGGGUGCUAGCUUGCUAGAACCUACACACAGGUGCUGCACGGCUGUCGUCAGCUCGUGUCGUGAGAUGUUGGGUUAAGUCCCGCAACGAGCGCAACCCUCGUCCUUAGUUGCUAACAGUUCGGCUGAGCACUCUAGGGAGACUGCCUUCGCAAGGAGGAGGAAGGUGAGGACGACGUCAAGUCAUCAUGGCCCUUACGGCCAGGGCUACACACGUGCUACAAUGGGGCGUACAGAGAGCUGCGAUACCGCGAGGUGGAGCCAAUCUCUUAAAGCGUCUCUCAGUUCGGAUUGUUCUCUGCAACUCGAGAACAUGAAGCUGGAAUCACUAGUAAUCGCAGAUCAGCUAUGCUCGCGUCGAAUACGUCCGGCCUU
rnacentral:rRNA from 1 species